rnacentral:tRNA from 1 species
GAGGGUACAGCUUAGUGGGAGAGUGUGUGCUUAACAUGCACAAGAUGCUAAGUUCAAUCCCCAGUACCUCCA